rnacentral:rRNA from 1 species
CCUACGUGAGGCAGCAGUGAGGAAUAUUUGUCAAUGGGCGGGAGCCUGAACCAGCCAAGCCGCGUGAGGGAAGAAGGUACAGCGUAUCGCAAACCUCUUUUGUCAGGGAACAAAGGCGGGGACUAGUCCCCGUAUGAGGGUACCUGAAGAAAAAGCAUCGGCUAACUCCGUGCCAGCAGCCGCGGUAAUACGGGGGAUGCGGGCGUUAUCCGGAUUUCUUGGGUUUAAAGGGUGCGCAGGCGGCCUGUUAAGUCAGCGGGAAAAGCCCGGGGGUCAACCCAGGCCAGCCGUUGAAACUGGCGGGCUGGAGUUGGAGAGAAGUAGGCGGAAUGUGCGGUGUAGCGGUGAAAUGCGUAGAUAUCGCGCAGAACCCCGAUUGCGAAGGCAGCGUACCGGCUCCAAACUGAGGCUGAGGCACGAAAGCGUGGGUAUCGAACAGGAUUAGAUACCCUAGUAGUC